rnacentral:rRNA from 1 species
UACGAAGGGGGCUAGCGUUGUCCGGAAUCAUUGGGCGUAAAGCGCGCGUAGGUGGCCAUUUAAGUCCGCUGUGAAAGUCAGAGGCUCAACCUUUGAAAGCCGGUGGAUACUGGAUGGCUAGAGUACGGAAGAGGCGAGUGAAAUUCCUGGUGUAGCGGUGGAAUGCGCAGAUAUCAGGAGGAACACCAAUAGCGAAGGCAGCUCGCUGGGACGUUACUGACACUGAGGCGCGAAAGCGUGGGGAGCGAACAGG